rnacentral:rRNA from 1 species
GAUUGACCUCGGAUCAGGUAGGGAUACCCGCUGAAUCUAA